rnacentral:rRNA from 1 species
UACGGAGGAUCCGAGCGUUAUCCGGAUUUAUUGGGUUUAAAGGGUGCGUAGGUGGAUUGGUAAGUCAGUGGUGAAAUUUUGCAGCUCAACUGUAAAAGUGCCAUUGAUACUGGUUUUCUUGAGUGUGGAUGAAGUAGGCGGAAUUUGUGGUGUAGCGGUGAAAUGCAUAGAUAUCACGAGGAACUCCGAUUGCGCAGGCAGCUUACUAAACCAUAACUGACGCUCAGGCACGAAGGCGUGGGGAGUCAAACAGGAUUAGAUA